AGAGUUUGAUCAUGGCUCAGAUUGAACGCUGGCGGCAUGCUUUACACAUGCAAGUCGAACGGCAGCGGGGGCUUCGGCCUGCCGGCGAGUGGCGAACGGGUGAGUAAUGCAUCGGAACGUACCCAGUCGUGGGGGAUAACGUAGCGAAAGUUACGCUAAUACCGCAUACGUCCUACGGGAGAAAGCAGGGGCUCGCAAGACCUUGCGCGAUUGGAGCGGCCGAUGUCUGAUUAGCUAGUUGGUAGGGUAAAGGCCUACCAAGGCGACGAUCAGUAGCGGGUCUGAGAGGAUGAUCCGCCACACUGGAACUGAGACACGGUCCAGACUCCUACGGGAGGCAGCAGUGGGGGAUUUUGGACAAUGGGCGCAAGCCUGAUCCAGCCAUUCCGCGUGAGUGAAGAAGGCCUUCGGGUUGUAAAGCUCUUUCGGCAGGAAAGAAAUCGCCGCCUCUAACAUAGGCGGUGGAUGACGGUACCUGAAGAAGAAGCACCGGCUAACUACGUGCCAGCAGCCGCGGUAAUACGUAGGGUGCGAGCGUUAAUCGGAAUUACUGGGCGUAAAGCGUGCGCAGGCGGCUUUUUAAGCCAGAUGUGAAAUCCCCGGGCUUAACCUGGGAACUGCAUUUGGAACUGGAAGGCUAGAGUGCGGCAGAAGGGGGGUAGAAUUCCACGUGUAGCAGUGAAAUGCGUAGAGAUGUGGAGCCCUAAACGAUGUCAACUGGUUGUUGGGGGAGUGAAAUCCCUUAGUAACGAAGCUAACGCGUGAAGUUGACCGCCUGGGGAGUACGGUGAAUACCGAUGGCGAAGGCAGCCCCCUGGGUCGACACUGACGCUCAUGCACGAAAGCGUGGGGAGCAAACAGGAUUAGAUACCCUGGUAGUCCACGCGCAAGAUUAAAACUCAAAGGAAUUGACGGGGACCCGCACAAGCGGUGGAUGAUGUGGAUUAAUUCGAUGCAACGCGAAGAACCUUACCUACCCUUGACAUGUCCGAAACUUGCCAGAGAUGGCUUGGUGCCCGAAAGGGAAUCGGAACACAGGUGCUGCAUGGCUGUCGUCAGCUCGUGUCGUGAGAUGUUGGGUUAAGUCCCGCAACGAGCGCAACCCUUGUCCUUAGUUGCUACGCAAGGGCACUCUAAGGAGACUGCCGGUGACAAACCGGAGGAAGGUGGGGAUGACGUCAAGUCCUCAUGGCCCUUAUGGGUAGGGCUUCACACGUCAUACAAUGGUCGGUACAGAGGGUUGCCAAGCCGCGAGGUGGAGCCAAUCCCACAAAGCCGAUCGUAGUCCGGAUUGUUCUCUGCAACUCGAGAGCAUGAAGUCGGAAUCGCUAGUAAUCGCAGGUCAGCAUACUGCGGUGAAUACGUUCCCGGGUCUUGUACACACCGCCCGUCACACCAUGGGAGUGGGUUGCUCCAGAAGUAGGUAGCCUAACCGCGAGGGGGGCGCUUACCACGGAGUGAUUCAUGACUGGGGUGAAGUCGUAACAAGGUAACC
rnacentral:rRNA from 1 species